CGACCCCAAGGUCAGGCGGGAUUACCCGGCUUGAGUUUUAAACAAUAUCAAUAGGGCGAGAGAAC
rnacentral:rRNA from 1 species